rnacentral:tRNA from 1 species
AGCNUCGAAGUGAAUUACGUCAAAAUGCAAGUUUGNAGGAGAGCCCAUAAGGGGCU